rnacentral:misc_RNA from 1 species
AAAGAAUCUCGUGUUCUUCUCUUUGGGUGCGAAUCGUUUGUCUGGUUCCAUCCCUCUCUCAAUCCACAAUCUUUCCUCUGUAGAAAUUUUUAAUGUGGCAGCAAACCGCAUCCAAGGGAGGCUUCCUGCCAACUUGGGUACCUCUCUUCCAAAUCUCAAACAGUUUGUAAUAGCCAAAAAUGAUAUUACUGGAUCGAUUCCUGCUUCAUUUUCCAAUG